CAACUGAGCCACACCAGCCAGGACACCAUUUCCUAUUUUACAAAACUAAAGUUUCUUGUAUAGAUGUUUAAUUCCAGAGCUUGGGUAGAGAAAGUAAAACAUGAGUCUGGAAGAUACCCUGGUGCUGGAGAGUAAGGAAGUGCUCAGAAAAUGAUGGGUUUAUUGUGAAAGGACCCAGGAACCAACCUGCAGUCAUUGCUGAGGUCUGAAAGCUGAGAUUAUUUGAGCAACAAAGUAAAGAUUGGAUUAUAACCCUGUUCUAUUUUCUCCCAUAACCAUGAUCAUCCCUUAACCUACUAUAUAAUUAACUUAUGAUUUUGUUUAUUGCCUCUCUCUCCCACUAGAAUAAGAACUUUACAGAGGUGUUUUGUUUACGGCUAUAUCCCAAGUACCUUAACACCUGGCAUACAGUGCAGACUCGGUAAAUAUUUGUAGAAUGAGUGAAUUUCCUCUCCUCCCCACACUGGCACAGAGAUUGAGGAAACUGAAUAUUCUAAUGGAAACAACGAGGAUUUUUCCAAAUAAUUGGACGCCGAACAUCAGCAGCCACCUCACCAUCUGAUCCUCUGCACAGUGCAUCAGGGAUUCACACGGCGGGCAGGAGCAGUCCUGAGGGCGCUGAGCAGCUAGGAAAUCCCCCCAGGAGAGAACAUGCCAACCUGGGAGUCCUUUUCCCAGGGAACACUUCGGGAGAUUUUCCUCUCAUGAGAAUACUUGGAACAGCUCUGGUGAGUUUGCAGCCUGGGUGAGAAAGCUGACUUCUGCAUGGCUAAGUAAAGCCCACUGGAGUCUUUAUCUCAAGGGGAACCCUCCCCCUCUCGGGACAUUGACCUUAAGUGCUCAUUUUAUGGACAAGAGAAAGGAAAUGUGGACAAGAGAUCAGCUUAUGAGUGAAUUUUCUUUCCUCCCCACACUGGCACAUAGAUUGAGGAAACUGAAUAUUCUAAUGGAAACAACGAGGAUUUUUCCAAAUAAUUGGACGCCGAACAUCAGCAGCCACCUCACCAUCUGAUCCUCUGCACAGUGCAUCGGAGAUAAGCCUUAAAUUGAUAAGCCUUUAGCUAGAAUAAGAAAAAAGAGCGAAGACUCAAAAUCAGAAAUGAAAGAGGAGAUAUUAUAACUGAUGCCAGAAAUAAAAAGGAUUACAAUAGACUGCUAUGAACAAUUAUAUGCAACAAAUUGGAUAAGCUAGAAGAAAUGGAUACAUUCCUAGAAACAUAAAACUAGUCAAGAUUGAAUCAUGAAGAAAUAGAAAAUUUGAGCAGACCUAUAACUAGUAAGAAGAUUAAAUCAGUAAUUAAAAAUCACUCAACAAAGAAAAGCCCAGAACCAGAUGGCUUCACUGAGAAUGCUACCAAACAUUUUAAAAAAGAAUUAAUGCCAAUUCUUCUCAAACUCUUCCAAAAUACUGUAGAGGAGGGAAUACAUCCAAACUCAUUUUAUGAAGCUUGUGUUACCCCGAUGCCAAAGCCAAAGAAGGAAAGUACAAGAAAAGAAAAGCACUAGGUCAAUAUCUCUGAUGACUCUAGAUGAGAAAAAUCCUGAACAAAAUGAUAACAAAUUGAAUUCAACAGCUCAUUAAAAUGAUCAUACACCAUGUCUAAAUAGGAUUUAUCCGUGGGAUGCAAAGAUGGGUCCACAUACACAAAUCAAAUACCACCUUAACAGAAUGAAGGACAAACAUCACAUAAUCAUCUCAAUAGAUGCAGAAAAAGCAUUCAACAAAAUUCAACACCUUUCGUGAUAAGAAAUACUCAACAAAUGAGGAAAAGAGGGAAACUAACUCAACAUAAUAAAGCCCAUAUAUGAAAAGCCCACAGCUAACAUCAUACUCAAUGGGGAAAUACUGAAAACUUAUCCUCUGAUUUUAGGAAGAAGGCAAGGCGAGGGUGUCCACUAUAACCACUUCUAUUCAACAUAGUACUGGAAGUCCUAGCUAGAGCAAUUAGGCAAGAGAAAGAAAAAAAGGCAUCCAAAUCAGAAAGGAAGAAGCAAAAUUAUCUCUGUUCAAAGAUGACAUGAUUUUUAUGUACAAAGCAUUAAGAUUCCACAAUAAAAACCAUUAGAAUUAAUAAACAAAUUCAACAAAAUUGCAGGAUACAAAAUCAACAUAUAAAAAUUAGUUGCAUUUCUACACAUGAAAAGUGAAAAAUCUGAAAAGGAAAUUAAGAAAGUAAUCCCAUUUAUGAUAGCAUUAAGAAGAAUAAACUACUUAGGAAUCAAUUUAAGAAAGAAGAAGACUUUGUUCACUGAAAACCAAAAAACAUUGCUGAAAGAAAUUAGAGAAGACACAGAUAAAUGGAAAGACAUCCUAUGUUCAUGGGUUGGAAGAUUUAAUACUAUUGUCAAAAUGUCCAUACUCCUCCAAGGGAUCUGCAGAUUCAAUGCAAUCCCUAUCCAUAUCAAAAUGACAUUUAAAAAUACAUAUAUUUUUAUUGAUUUUAUAGAGAAAGGUAGAGGGAGAGAGAAACAUCAAUGAUGAGAGAGAAUCAUUAAUUGGCUGUCUCCUGCACACCCCACACUGGGGAUCAAGUCCAUAACCCAGGCAUGUGCCCCGACCGGGAAUCAAACUGUGACCUCCUGGUUCAUAGGUCGAUGCUCAACCGCUGAACAACACUGGCCAGGCUAAAUGACAUAUUUUUACAGAAGUAGAAAAACAAUCCUAUAAUUUAUAUGGAUCCAAAAGGGGUCCUGAAUAGCCAAAACAAUCUCAGGGAAGAAAAAUAAAGCUGGAGGACUCACAGUUCCUGACUUAAAAACAUAUUACAAAGCUACAGAAAUAAAAACAGUACUGACAUAAAGACAGACAUAUAGGCCAAUGGAAGAGAAUAGAGAGCUCAGAAAUAAACCUACACAUAUAAGGCAAAGUGAUCUUUGACAAGGGUGCCAGACUACACAAUGGUGGUGGUGGUGGGGAGGGUAAAGUACAGGGUGGGGCAAAAGUAGAUUUUCAGUUGUGAGUACUUGAAACAUAGAGUUUAUUCUUGUAUUAUUGUUUAUUAAUUGUUGUUUUAUUUCCCAUACAAACAUAUUAUCUUUAACCAAUGAUGGUGGGGAAACUAGGUAUCUAGAUGCAAAAUAAUAAAAUGAGACUGCUUUUAGGUUUUUUUUUUUGUUUUUUUUUAAAUAACAUUAUUUUUUUUAAGUUAACAUGUGCAUAUAGUAGGAAACUGCAAAACACAAGAAGCGAAGAACAAGCCAUCCGUAAUCACAAGCAGUUUGUAGUCUGACGUGUCCUUCUCAGUCUCCUGUGUCUCUACACAGCUAAGCUUCCCUUUCUUUUGGAAUUGGGAUUGUACAGUUAUGUAUCAUGCUCUCUCACACAUCAUGAAUAUUUACCAUUUCAUAGCCCCUAAGCUAUCUGAGUAUUUUGGUAACCAAGAAUGCACAAACCAAUGCAAUCUGAAAGAAAAUAAUGUAAUCCUGACUUUCUUGGCAACAGAAAUUUCAUAACAGACAAAAAUGGCAACACGUCUCUAGAUGAAGAUAUUGGCGGAGUUACAAUUAAAAUACUGCAUUCCCUUAAUGUUCAAUUAAAAAUGAGACAUAAAGCAACAGAGUACACAAGUAUAAUGCUUCUAAGAGAAUUCAUUAUGAUUUAUACUUUUAAAAUACUAGCAAGGAGCUAAUAUUCCCUUUGAGACCGUGGCUUCUUAUUAUAAGCCCUUUUGCACAUUUGAUUUUUUAAGCAUGUGCCUAAAUUACUUUGAUUUACAUCUUUACAUUUUUAUUUUUUUAAAGUAAUAUUUUGUGUAAAAAAAAAAAGAAGAAGAAGAAAGAAAGAAAGAAAGGAAGAAAGAAAAGAAAGCCAAACAGGUAUAAGAAGGAAAGUAAAAGCUUCCCAACUUUACAAACCCUUCAUUUCCAAUCUUCAGAACUGACUUCAGUUCCCAGCAUUUUGGAUAACCCCCUAGAAAUUUCCUGUAUUCUUAUGAGCAUAUGUGUAUGUGUCUACAGCGCUUUCAGUUAAAGGAGAGAGCACCGUA